rnacentral:lncRNA from 1 species
GCAAAAUCCUUAUUACACUAGUGUCUCACGCGCAAUGUACAAAAGAGGAAGAUGGAUGACUUUAAUCACUUUGGGUGAAAUUGAGAUUCCAAAAAUAGAAAACAAAAGCAUAACAUAUAUGAUUGGUGCUGAGAUGGGCAGAAAUAUGGUGUGUUUGAUCGGUCAUGAGCUUAAUCAUGAUCUUUAUUAGUCCAAACACCGGAAAGUUAAUAUUGUUGGAUCUGACUUGCAUUAAUCAGGUAAUGAUAAAUAUGUUAACUAAAUUUUUUUUUUUUGGUACAAGCAGGCGGUCAUACCACUCGGAUAUGAGAGCAGUCCAUAAUAUCAAGAUAUAAAAAAUCUCACAUGGCCCAGACAAGUAUCACCCUAUCUCCAAAUCUAGUCUCUGAAAUGCUCAACUACAAAGGAUGCAAACCAAUCUGCUGCGUUAUUCGUCUUCCGAAAAUUAUGCCAUAUUGACACUAUAGUAGAAUGACGAUGAAUAGUCCAUGUGUCACGAAGGAGUGGAUGUGCCUCCAAUUGCAUCAUGUUAUUUCUGAUCCAACCAAUAAUGGUAGCAGAAUUUUCCUCGAUGAAAAUCUUCUCCACUCGCUCUAACUCAAUACAGAUAAAUAC